UUGAUCUUUUACAUGAUUAGGGCCAGGGGGCCAAGAUCGCUCCAGAGGCAGCUCAAGAUGGGAUGAAAAUUAUUCCUUUCUGACACAAGCCGUCACUAAGUUAUAAUUUUGUGAACCAGGAGUAUGUUUUCAAUUAGCUUCGUUAGCCCCUGCUUGUACAGCUAAGCAGCAGCAGUGUCACAUGUGCUACUAACCCAGGUCCAGAUGGAUGUGAGCAUGAAAGCCUGAGCAACUGAUUUCCAAAGACGUAAAAUCAGAUAAUUGAUGACUAGGAGGACUAAAUCAGAAUCUUGGUGGCUUCUCCCAGACUUUGGAACUUCCACCCUAGAGAAGUCAGACUGGCUCCCUCCUUGUCC